rnacentral:lncRNA from 1 species
UGUUGAACAUUGUUAGACUGCUGAUUUUGUUGAAGGCUAGAUAGAAUCGAUUGCAUCGUCGAAGGCUGCAUAGCAGAUGACGUUUGCAUAACUGAUUGUUGAGAGGUAUUCAACUGGUUUGGUUGCAGAAGGUUCUGCUGUUGAGCAUCGUCGAAGGCUGCAUAGCAGAUGACGUUUGCAUAACUGAUUGUUGAGAGGUAUUCAACUGGUUUGGUUGCAGAAGGUUCUGCUGUUGUUGUUGCUGCAUCUGAGAUAGCAUAUGCUUCAUAACUUGUUGCUGCUGCUGGUAAAGAAUCUGUUGAUUCUGUGGUUGUUGCUGUUGCUGUGGGGGAACAACUUGCUGCCAACCUGGCAUAUGUCUUUGAGAACCAGGAAACAUACACUGUAUAUUGGAAUUCUGGCCAAUAGAA